rnacentral:rRNA from 1 species
AUUGAACGCUGGCGGCAUGCCUUACACAUGCAAGUCGAACGGCAGCGGGCCCUUCGGGGUGCCGGCGAGUGGCGAACGGGUGAGUAAUGCAUCGGAACGUACCCGGGAGAGGGGGAUAACCGGCCGAAAGGCUGGCUAAUACCGCAUGAACUCGGAAGAGCAAAGCGGGGGACCUUCGGGCCUCGCGCUCUCGGAGCGGCCGAUGUCCGAUUAGGCUAGUUGGUGGGGUAAAGGCCCACCAAGGCGACGAUCGGUAGCGGGUCGGAGAGGACGAUCCGCCACACUGGGACUGAGACACGGCCCAGACUCCUACGGGAGGCAGCAGUGGGGAAUCUUGGACAAUGGGCGCAAGCCUGAUCCAGCAAUGCCGCGUGGGUGAAGAAGGCCUUCGGGUUGUAAAGCCCUUUCGGCGGGGAAGAAAUCGGUCAGGCGAAUAGUCUGGCCGGAUGACGGUACCCGCAGAAGAAGCACCGGCUAACUACGUG